rfam:Chryseobacterium takakiae strain DSM 26898 genome assembly, contig: Ga0131160_106
AAUCGGAUUUGCAUCCGAUUCUGUUAUAGGUCGUCCCUUCGGGACU